rnacentral:rRNA from 1 species
CGAGAGAAUUGCUAGCUUGCUAAUAAUUCUCUAGUGGCGCACGGGUGAGUAACACGUGAGUAACCUGCCCCCGAGAGCGGGAUAGCCCUGGGAAACUGGGAUUAAUACCGCAUAGUAUCGAAAGAUUAAAGCAGCAAUGCGCUUGGGGAUGGGCUCGCGGCCUAUUAGUUAGUUGGUGAGGUAACGGCUCACCAAGGCGAUGACGGGUAGCCGGUCUGAGAGGAUGUCCGGCCACACUGGAACUGAGACACGGUCCAGACACCUACGGGUGGCAGCAGUCGAGAAUCAUUCACAAUGGGGGAAACCCUGAUGGUGCGACGCCGCGUGGGGGAAUGAAGGUCUUCGGAUUGUAAACCCCUGUCAUGUGGGAGCAAAUUAAAAAGAUAGUACCACAAGAGGAAGAGACGGCUAACUCUGUGCCAGCAGCCGCGGUAAUACAGAGGUCUCAAGCGUUGUUCGGAAUCACUGGGCGUAAAGCGUGCGUAGGCUGUUUCGUAAGUCGUGUGUGAAAGGCGCGGGCUCAACCCGCGGACGGCACAUGAUACUGCGAGACUAGAGUAAUGGAGGGGGAACCGGAAUUCUCGGUGUAGCAGUGAAAUGCGUAGAUAUCGAGAGGAACACUCGUGGCGAAGGCGGGUUCCUGGACAUUAACUGACGCUGAGGCACGAAGGCCAGGGGAGCGAAAGGGAUUAGAUACCCCUGUAGUCCUGGCAGUAAACGGUGCACGCUUGGUGUGCGGGGAAUCGACCCCCUGCGUGCCGGAGCUAACGCGUUAAGCGUGCCGCCUGGGGAGUACGGUCGCAAGAUUAAAACUCAAAGAAAUUGACGGGGACCCGCACAAGCGGUGGAGUAUGUGGCUUAAUUCGAUGCAACGCGAAGAACCUUACCUGGGCUUGACAUGUAAUGAACAACAUGUGAAAGCAUGCGACUCUUCGGAGGCGUUACACAGGUGCUGCAUGGCCGUCGUCAGCUCGUGUCGUGAGAUGUUUGGUUAAGUCCAGCAACGAGCGCAACCCCUGUUGCCAGUUACCAGCACGUGAAGGUGGGGACUCUGGCGAGACUGCCCAGAUCAACUGGGAGGAAGGUGGGGACGACGUCAGGUCAGUAUGGCCCUUAUGCCCAGGGCUGCACACGUACUACAAUGCCCAGUACAGAGGGGGCCGAAGCCGCGAGGCGGAGGAAAUCCUAAAAACUGGGCCCAGUUCGGACUGUAGGCUGCAACCCGCCUACACGAAGCCGGAAUCGCUAGUAAUGGCGCAUCAGCUACGGCGCCGUGAAUACGUUCCCGGGUCUUGUACACACCGCCCGUCACAUCAUGGAAGCCGGUCGCACCCGAAGUAUCUGAAGCCAACCGCAAGGAGGCAGG